AUUGAACGCUGUCGGCAUGCUUUACACAUGCAAGUCGGACGGCAGCACAGAGAAGCUUGCUUCUUGGGUGGCGAGUGGCGAACGGGUGAGUAACAUAUCGGAACGUACCGAGCAGUGGGGGAUAACUAAUCGAAAGAUUAGCUAAUACCGCAUAUCUUCUGAGGAAGAAAGCAGGGGACCAUUUGGCCUUGCGCUGUUUGAGCGGCCGAUAUCUGAUUAGCUAGUUGGUGGGGUAAAGGCCUACCAAGGCGACGAUCAGUAGCGGGUCUGAGAGGAUGAUCCGCCACACUGGGACUGAGACACGGCCCAGACUCCUACGGGAGGCAGCAGUGGGGAAUUUUGGACAAUGGGCGCAAGCCUGAUCCAGCCAUGCCGCGUGUCUGAAGAAGGCCUUCGGGUUGUAAAGGACUUUUGUCAGGGAAGAAAAGGGCGGGGUUAAUACCCCUGUCUGAUGACGGUACCUGAAGAAUAAGCACCGGCUAACUACGUG
rnacentral:rRNA from 1 species